UCCGGUUGAUCCCGCCGGACCUGACUGCUAUCGGAUUGGUACUAAGCCAUGCGAGUCAUUGUACAAUACAAGGCGGACGGCUCAGUAACACGUAGUCAACCUAACUCGUGGACGUGGAUAACCUCGGGAAACUGAGAAUAAAACACGAUAGAUCAUAGUGCCUGGAAUGGCUUAUGGUCCAAACAGUUUACUGCCAUGGGAUGGGACUGCGGCCUAUCAGCUUGUUGGUGAGGUAAUGGCCCACCAAGGCGAUUACAGGUACGGGCUCUGAGAGGAGAAGCCCGGAGAUGGGUACUGAGACACGGACCCAGGCCCUAUGGGGCGCAGCAGGCGAGAAACCUUAGCAAUGUGCGAAAGCACGACUGGGUCAGUCCGAGUGAUUCCUGAUAAAGGAGUCUUUUGCUUGUCCUAAAAGCACAAGUGAAUAAGGGGUGGGCAAGUCUGGUGUCAGCCGCCGCGGUAAUACCAGCACCUCGAGUGGUCAGGACGUUUAUUGGGCCUAAAGCAUCCGUAGCCGGCUCUGCAAGUCUUCGGUUAAAUCCACCGGCUCAACAGAUGGGCCGCUGGAGAUACUACAGAGCUAGGGAGUGGGAGAGGCAGACGGUAUUCAGUGGGUAGGGG
rnacentral:rRNA from 1 species